GCUGCUUUAGCUCAGUGGUUAGAGUAGUACCUUUACAAUCGUACAUUGUAAUACGGUAUUGGUCACAGGUUCGAUCCCUGUAAGCAGCA
rnacentral:tRNA from 2 species